rnacentral:tRNA from 1 species
GGUAUAGCUCAGUGGUACGAGCGCAUGAUUAGCAUGCAGGAGGUCCUGGGUUCGAUCCCCAGUACC